rnacentral:rRNA from 1 species
AUUGAACGCUGGCGGAAUGCUUUACACAUGCAAGUCGAACGGCAGCACGGGGGUAACCCUGGUGGCGAGUGGCGAACGGGUGAGUAAUACAUCGGAACGUGCCCGGUCGUGGGGGAUAACGUAGCGAAAGUUACGCUAAUACCGCAUACGAUCUGAGGAUGAAAGCGGGGGACCUUCGGGCCUCGCGCGAUCGGAUCGGCCGAGGUCGGAUUAGGUAGUUGGUGGGGUAAAGGCCUACCAAGCCGGCGAUCUGUAGCUGGUCUGAGAGGACGACCAGCCACACUGGGACUGAGACACGGCCCAGACUCCUACGGGAGGCAGCAGUGGGGAAUUUUGGACAAUGGGCGCAAGCCUGAUCCAGCCAUGCCGCGUGCAGGACGAAGGCCUUCGGGUUGUAAACUGCUUUUGUAUGGAACGAAAAGGCUCUGGCUAAUACCUGGGGCUCAUGACGGUACCGUAAGAAUAAGCACCGGCUAACUACGUG